rnacentral:rRNA from 1 species
UGGGGAAUUUUGGACAAUGGGCGAAAGCCUGAUCCAGCAAUGCCGCGUGUGUGAAGAAGGCCUUCGGGUUGUAAAGCACUUUUUGUCCGGAAAGAAAUCCUCUGGGUUAAUACCUCGGGGGGAUGACGGUACCGGAAGAAUAAGCACCGGCUAACUACGUGCCAGCAGCCGCGGUAAUACGUAGGGUGCAAGCGUUAAUCGGAAUUACUGGGCGUAAAGCGUGCGCAGGCGGUUUUGAUAAGACGGAUGUGAAAAUCCCCGGGCUUAACCUGGGAACUGCAUUCGUGACUGCAAGGCUAGAGUAUGGCAGAGGGGGGUAGAAUUCCACGUGUAGCAGUGAAAUGCGUAGAGAUGUGGAGGAAUACCGAUGGCGAAGGCAGCCCCCUGGGCCAAUACUGGACGCUCAUGCACGAAAAGCGUGGGGGAGCAAAACAGGAUUAGAUACCCUGGUAGUCCACGCCCUAAACGAUGUCAACUAGUUGUU